AGGUUCAACAGUGAAAUUAAGAAGAUCUUCAACCACAGCAGAAAUGAAAUCGUCGUCAUUCAUUUCGGCUUUGACAACAACUAAUGAAGAGUUUAGAUAUUUGAUUACGUUAUUUGGUGUGUGUAUUUCUAUAAUGGGUCUGAAAUGUGUAGUGUUUCUUUCUUAAGAGAACACCUGUGACAACACUAGGGGUAAACUAGGGAAGCAAGGAAAGAAAAGAGGGGAAACGUGGAUGUUAGGGGAGAAAUUCUAUUUUCGCUUUACAUAACCGAGAAAACAGAUAACAUAAAUUUCAAGAGAUAGGAAUUGGGCAACUUUUGGAGAUAGAAAUUCACAUCUGCCUCUUGAAGUGAAAAUAGAAGAUAGGAUUUUAUAUACCUGUACUGAAAAUUGAUAAAGGGAGAAGAAAAUUAAGAGGAAUGUGAAAUUAAACACGAUCUAAGCUUUUAUAUAGGAUUAAGGGGCUGGGAAAUUUAAGACGUGGACUAACUGGCAUAAGAUUUCAUUUCGAGAACAAGGUGGGAAUUUAGACAGAAAUUCAGUAACAGGUGGAACAACUGCAGUGAAAAACAAAGGAAAAGAAGAGGAAGGUGAAUACUACGUUUGGCUUGAGCGAGUAAUUCCAAGUAGAUGAGUUGUGAAGUAAAAGUAUUUUGUGACUUCUGUUGUCUUUAUGUGCCCUGUAAAACACUUUUUUUUGUUUUGUGAAGAAUGGUGGAUCUGAUGCUAUGUGCAUGUGCAGACUUAUGUCGUUAUGUAUGCAGUAGUUGUGAAAUGUAAAUAGUAAUAUGUAUAGGUAUUCACGAAGUCGUUUUUGAGUCAAUAAAGUCUCUUUGGUGUCUCCAAGUUAGACUUAAACGUUUAAGUAUGAAAAUUGGGGCGUUCCAUGUUAAUUACUUACUGAGAGAGUCUGAGACCUAGAUUCUUUCUUCGUGGUGUCUCAUUUUCAGAUUUUGUGUUUACUAUUUUUGUAUUGUCUCCAAAUACAUAUCUUAUUGGCAGAUACUUUAUUGAUAUCUUCUUCUGAUAUGUGUAUGGAAGUGCUUGUUUUAAUUUGUUGUCUUUUGAACAGGCUUAUAUGUAUGGGUUUUUCAAAAACAAGCGUACUGUGUUGUACGACACCUUGAUUCAACAGGUAAUUUAUGUUUAGAACUAGUGUCGUUUUCUAUUUGGAGUGCGGAAGAUGUCAUCUCGAAUUGUGAUCUGUAGAACGCUAUCGACUGCCUGCAUUUUCUGUUCAUUAUAUAUGCUUUAAACUAGUACUAGUAUAAUAAUUUUCGGUUGGUGGGAAACAACAUUCAGAUGAGGUUUAUAGAGCAUGUAUUUCUUAUUCUUCGUUGGAUUAGCUCUGUAACCCUUAAUAUAUGGAUGUGUAACUCCUAGUUACAUAAGUCAUAUGAAUGUGUAACUUCUAGUUACACAUGCAUAUAGCAUGUGCAACUCUUAUUUACACUAGUCACAUACCUGUAUAAUUUUGGGUUCUAAUUUUUGAUGAACUGCUUUAUUUAUUUUGAUGAACUAAUUUUUGAUGAACUGCUUUAUUUAUUUUUGUUUGAUAUUUUGAUUUUAUUGUACGUGAGAGAGGGGAUUUGUUGCCGUAGAUGGCAUUGAAGCUUAGCUGGUGAAGAUGCAGUUCUCAAGUGAACUGCAGGUGGUAUGAGGAUGGAACUGAGCAUGGGAAUGGUUAUGAACAGGCUGUUGUUGCUAAUUACAAGUUAUGUAGGUGUUGAUUUCAGAGCAUGAAAGUUCACAGAGAGCUGUAGGAGUGUGCAAGUGGUACAAAUGCAGAUUUGGCGUUGGUUUGGAAUGAACUGGUAGCUAUGGGAUGAAUGGGAAUAGCUCAGGUAUGCACUGGUUGAAGAAUCAGAUGGGUUUCAGUUAAUGAUGCUCAGAUAGAUGUAUGUUAGGAGUUAACAUUACAGGUACUGGUGCAGCUGCAGUUAAGACAGUGGUAAUGAAAUAGAGGAAAUUCAGAUGUGAAGUAAGCUCUUUCAGAUGUGCAAAUAUAUUGGAAUCGAGAAAGACAAAAAGGGAAGAAAACAUUUCUAUUAUAGGAUAUAAUGAAUUAUUUCUAGGAUUUCGCUUUCCGUAUCUCAUGUUUUAAUUCGUUUAUUGUGUUCAAACAACCAAUUACUAUGAUUGUAGUAAUUGAUAAACAGACAAAUUAUUAUAAAUGAAAAUUAAAGUAAUAUAUGUAUUUUAUUGUGAACAA